GAUGAACGCUAGCGGCAGGCCUAAUACAUGCAAGUCGAACGAGAUUAAGAGGCUUGCUUCUUAUGAAAGUGGCGCACGGGUGCGUAACGCGUAUGCAACCUACCUUAAUCAGGGGGAUAGCCCGAAGAAAUUCGGAUUAAGACCGCAUAAAAACACAGGAUAGCAUUAUCCAAUGUUCAAAUAUUUAUAGGAUUAAGAUGGGCAUGCGUGUCAUUAGCUAGUUGGCGGGGUAACGGCCCACCAAGGCGACGAUGACUAGGGGAUCUGAGAGGAUGACCCCCCACACUGGUACUGAGACAAGGACCAGACUCCUACGGGAGGCAGCAGUAAGGAAUAUUGGUCAAUGGAGGGAACUCUGAACCAGCCAUGCCGCGUGCAGGAAGACAGCCCUCUGGGUCGUAAACUGCUUUUAUUCGGGAAUAAACCUUUCUACGUGUAGGAAGCUGAAUGUACCGAAGGAAUAAGGAUCGGCUAACUCCGUG
rnacentral:rRNA from 1 species